AUGGCGCCGAAUUGUGGUCUGUAGACUUUGACAUUAUCUGCCGGGCCAAGUUCCUUGGAAAAGGACAGCUGAGAGGGUGAGACUCCCGUCCGCCUGGUAGAGUGAGUCAUUUGUCAACGAGUCGAGUUGUUUGGGAUUGCAGCUCUAAUUUGGUGGUAAAUUCCAUCUAAAGCUAAAUAUUGGUGGGAGACCGAUAGCGUACAAGUACCGUGAGGGAAAGAUGCAAAGAACUUUGAAAAGAGAGUUAAAGAGUACCUGAAACUGCUGAAACGGAAGCGAAGGAAACCAGUGUUUGUUGGUUCAUAUUUCCCCGGCCACUUGUGGUUUGGGCGCUGUGAGCUUGCGUGAGUUUGGGUUGGUUGAAUCCUUUGGAAGAGCGCAGUCAGAGUUGAUGUCUGUUGCUAGCACUGGAUUUGACUGAUGCAGACGAAAUGGUUUUCUUUACCCCGUCUUGAAACACGGACCAAGGAGUCUAACAUAUGUGCGAGUACAGGGGUGUCAAACCCCGGUGCGUAAUGAAAGUGACAGUGGUUGGAAUUUUGCACAAUCCGCCGGCCUCAAUCCUUCGGGAGAACGGUCUGAGUGUGAGC
rnacentral:rRNA from 1 species